rnacentral:lncRNA from 1 species
AAAUCUUGAAUAAAUCAUAAAUCUUAAAGUUUAAGAUUUGAUCCAAGAGUUUCGGAUUUAUCCAAGGGUUUAAGGUUUACCCAAGGGUUUAGGGUUUAGGAUUAGGAUUAGGAUUUAGGGUUUAGUGUUUUGUUGAUUGUGUUAAAAAUAUUUUUUUUUUAAAUUCAAGAAUUUAAAAUUUAUUAAAGGGUUUAGGGUUUACGAAAGGGUUUACCAAAGGAUUUAUCAAAGGGUUUAGGGUUUAGAUUUAGAGUUUAGUGUUUUGUUUAUGGUAUUAAUUUUUUUUUGAAAACUUUUUUUUGCAACUACUAUUAUUUUUAUUUAUUUAUACUUUUUUAAUUUUAAAAAGUAAUAUAAUUUGACAAUAUUUUGUUUCUUUUUUUAAAAGAUAUCAGAUUUGAAAUAACUAAAUCUUAUUGGUUGGUGAACCUACAUGUUCACCUAGGGGGUGAACCCAAGAAUAAGUCUUCCUAGAAUCACCAAAAACACACUCCCUCAUGUAAAUCUUACCAAACUCUUUGAAUAGAUCUUCAAUUACAUCUUUUUUAGCACCGGACGCUAUUCUCAUCACGUUUUGGACAAAUGCCACAUACAAUACUCAUGUCGGGCGAUUGGGUACACUUACAUAUUUCUUUGAGGCUAGAAUUUCUGCCACUAGUGAAUACCAAUCCAAAAGAGUGUUGUAUAAUGGUUUUCAGUGCUGUGAUAUGAUCAUGGAUGCAUCAAAGGUAUGAUACCAUGUGUCACUAUCUCAUACACUUAAUUAGUGAUGUGGACGCCUCAGGAGGGAUCAGACUCAAUUAUAUAUAUACAGAUUUGAGGAUCUUAGGAAAAAAUAGUAUAUAUUCUCUUUUCCUUGUACACUAUAUACCUCUUUGUUUUUGAUCAUUAAAACCAAAAGUUAUCUUAAGAAGUUAAUUUUGAAGUAAAAGAAACAUAAAUUGUUUGAUAAUAAUUUUAAAUUAAAAAUAAGACAAUCAAUGUAUAUUUUCUUUUAAAUAACUUAUUGAAAAUAUAUUUAGAUUAACAUCAGAAUACUUUAUAGGAAAAAUCUCCAUAGUAACACGUUUUGAAGAUUUCUACCAAAAAUAGUGUCCAAUGAUAAAUUUCAUCAAAAUAACAUUUAUAUAAUAGUAAAAUGAAGAAAAUAACUAUUUUAUUAGAAGAUGAGUUUUUAUUAAAAAAAAAUUCAAAAAAAAAAUUUCAAAUAUAUUUUUUAUUGCAUGAAUACUUUCCUAAAUUCAGUUUCAAAAAUGUUUUAAAAUAAACAAUUAUGAAAAAUUUCCUACAUCUUAGGAGAUUGUUAUACAUAUUAAAUUUUUAAAAAUGAUUCUUUUUCAAUUUUAGUAAAAUGUUAUUAUACAACCAAACAAGAAGAGUUUGAUGGGCUUUUGGAAAUAAAUGAAUACACACAGGAUUUUGUCUCCUUUACAUGCAGAAUUCUGAGCUCUAUCAUGGGCAAUGGAAUUAGGAUUAUUUUUUGGCAUUCAGAAGUAGCAUUUGAAGCAAAUUGCAUGAAAUUGCGGGAAGAUAGUGUUGACACCAACACAGUAGCCGGUCUUCUUAAUCCAUAUAGAGGAGUUUCAAAGAUGCAAAUGGUUAUUCAAUAUUUUCACCAUGUCACGUAUCCUCCGGACGACAAACGUUAUGGCCGAUAAAGUAGCAAGAGGUCAUUUUCAAAAAAAAAAAAAAAAAGUAGCAAGAGGUGCAAGGAUUCUAGCGUCAUAUGUUGUUAAGUUAAAGUUUGCUGUAAAUAUCGUAUAAAUCUUGUCUGUCUCACCUUGCAUUCAGCUGUAGAUCUUGGAUUUGUGAUGUUCAAGACCUCCAUAAAGACAAAAACUUGCAAAUGACUCAACUUGCUAAUCGUCAAAAUUCUGUAAGCAUCUCAAUAUUGUCCUUUCACAAUUUUUAUGGCACAUUAAAUUUUUUUUGUCUUUGAAGCUUCUACUGCAAGUGGUUAGUUG